AUAAUUUUGAUAUGCACAUCAAAGCAAGAAGCAAAACAAUUUCAAGUGUAGAAGGGCAGCAUGGAUAACAGAUCGUGCGUCAUCAUUUUGCUACUCCUCGCCCUCUUUGCUUCUGAAAGUGAAAUAAUGAAGAUAAGUGCAACAACUUGCUAUAAAGAUAUAUUUCAUAAUACAACAGCAUGCACUCCGGCGAACUGUACCGUGAAAUGCAAGUCAGCCGGAUGCACAGGAGGCGACUGUCAUAUUUUCAAUAUCUGCGUAUGCAGUUACCCUUGUUAGUCCUGCUCUCUAGACAUAUUGGAGUUAAAUAAAACUAACCAAAUUGUUAUUUGCAUGCCUAUGUACCAUCCAUAAAAUUCUAUGAACUUGGCCAUUCAUAAUUUUGAAUUUGAGAUUUUAUGGAUUUAAAUAAAACUGAGUUUGAGCUUAUAUUAGUUCUUGUUGGGAACUAUUUUGAAAAAUAUUUAUUAAUAUAAAAAGAGGUGCUCUCGUUAGGAAGCGCUUAAGAAA